rnacentral:lncRNA from 1 species
AUGGAUAACAGAGGAAAAGGGUAUGCGCUCUCUCACAGUGAAAAACUUGCUAUUGCAUUUGGGGUUCUUGUCACUCCACCAGGCACGACGGCAUUGAGAGUGGCCUCUAAUCUCCGCAUUUGUGUUGAUUGCCACAACUUUCUGAAACUUUUUUCUGCGGUUUACAACCGGGAUGUUAUUCUCAGAGACCGUAAGCGGUUUCACCAUUUCCGGCAAGGGCAUUGCUCCUGUAGUGACUAUUGGUAG